GGAGGUGGCUUAGUGGAUUGGAUGUUGGACUAGGGCUCUGGAGACCAGGGUUCAAAUCCCGUCUUGGCCA